rnacentral:rRNA from 1 species
GUGGGGAAUCUUGCGCAAUGAGCGAAAGCCUGACGCAGCCAUGCCGCGUGAAUGAUGAAGGUCUUAGGAUUGUAAAAUUCUUUCACCGGGGACGAUAAUGACGGUACCCGGAGAAGAAGCCCCGGCUAACUUCGUGCCAGCAGCCGCGGUAAUACGAAGGGGGCUAGCGUUGCUCGGAAUUACUGGGCGUAAAGGGCGCGUAGGCGGACAGUUUAGUCAGAGGUGAAAGCCCAGGGCUCAACCUUGGAAUUGCCUUUGAUACUGGCUGUCUUGAGUACGGGAGAGGUGAGUGGAACUCCGAGUGUAGAGGUGAAAUUCGUAGAUAUUCGGAAGAACACCAGUGGCGAAGGCGACUCACUGGCCCGUUACUGACGCUGAGGCGCGAAAGCGUGGGGAGCAAACAGGAUUAGAAACCCGAGUAGUCC